rnacentral:rRNA from 1 species
ACAUGCAAGUCGAACGGCAGCACGGGUGCUUGCACCUGGUGGCGAGUGGCGAACGGGUGAGUAAUAUAUCGGAACGUGCCCUAGAGUGGGGGAUAACGUAGCGAAAGUUACGCUAAUACCGCAUACGAUCUACGGAUGAAAGUGGGGGAUCGCAAGACCUCAUGCUCCCGGAGCGGCCGAUAUCUGAUUAGCUAGUUGGUGGGGUAAAAGCCUACCAAGGCGACGAUCAGUAGCUGGUCUGAGAGGACGACCAGCCACACUGGGACUGAGACACGGCCCAGACUCCUACGGGAGGCAGCAGUGGGGAAUUUUGGACAAUGGGGGAAACCCUGAUCCAGCAAUGCCGCGUGUGUGAAGAAGGCCUUCGGGUUGUAAAGCACUUUUGUCAGGAACGAAACGGUGGGGGCUAAUACCUCCUGCUAAUGACGGUACCUGAAGAAUAAGCACCGGCUAACUACGUGCCAGCAGCCGCGGUAAUACGUAGGGUGCGAGCGUUAAUCGGAAUUACUGGGCGUAAAGCGUGCGCAGGCGGUUGUGCAAGACAGAUGUGAAAUCCCCGGGCUUAACCUGGGAAUUGCAUUUGUGACUGCACGGCUAGAGUGUGUCAGAGGGGGGUAGAAUUCCACGUGUAGCAGUGAAAUGCGUAGAUAUGUGGAGGAAUACCGAUGGCGAAGGCAGCCCCCUGGGAUAACACUGACGCUCAUGCACGAAAGCGUGGGGAGCAAACAGGAUUAGAUACCCUGGUAGUCCACGCCCUAAACGAUGUCUACUAGUUGUCGGGUCUUAAUUGACUUGGUAACGCAGCUAACGCGUGAAGUAGACCGCCUGGGGAGUACGGUCGCAAGAUUAAAACUCAAAGGAAUUGACGG